rnacentral:lncRNA from 1 species
UAGAGGGACGUCUGCCGGUUACGACCGGAAGGCUUCCGACGGACUUGGCAGAACCCACAACAGCAGUAUGAACCCGGCGUGGAGUUAAUGCGUAAUUGCUCGCAUGAGCAACCGAAGAGCGACUUCCAGGCGAAGCUGCCGCAGAAUUCCUGGAGAUGCGCUGGGACAUGGAUCAUAGCAAGGUGGCUCUCAGCGGCAGCUGACCGCUGAGAUGUGUCUGAAACAGCCAGAAGGAAGACUCGAGUUGUGGAUCCAGGGCACUACUGAACGGAAGGCCGGACCAGCUGUAGGGAGACUACAGAAAAGCCGUCGUUCUCAAUCUGCUGAACAGACUCCUACUGCAGAG